AAAUAAAAUAAAGGCUACCUCUGGCUUCUGUAUGGAACAUAGAAGGCAGAAUAGCAUGAGAAGAAACAGGGAGGUAGAGCGACGUGUAGGAAAA